UACGGGGGGGGCAAGCGUUGUUCGGAAUUACUGGGCGUAAAGGGCUCGUAGGCGGCCAACUAAGUCGGAUGUGAAAUCCCCAGGCUUAACCUGGGAACUGCAUCCGAUACUGGAUGGCUUGAAUCCGGGAGAGGGAUGCAGAAUUCCAGGUGUAGCGGUGAAAUGCGUAGAUAUCAGGAGGAACACCAAUUGCGAAGGCAGCUCGCUGGGACGGUACUGACGCUAAGGCGCGAAAGCGUGGGGAGCGAACAGG
rnacentral:rRNA from 1 species